AAGAGGAGGAGCAAGGAGAGACCCAGGAGCCGAGGGGGUCAGCCAGCCAUGGAGUAAGAAGGAAAGUAAGAUACACAGAAGUAAGGAAGCUCUGUCUGGCCUGUAAUUUGCUGUAUAGACUAAGUUGGCUUCAUGUUAACAGAGAACUUCCUGCUUCUGCCUAUUGAGUGCUGAGAUUAAAGGACCCAAAUGAUUGCUUAAAAGUAGCCCCGAGAGGGGCUGGAGAGAUGGCUCAGGAGUUAAGAGCAUUGGCUGUUCUUCCAGAGGACCCGGGUACAAUUUCUAGCACCCACAUGGCAGCUCACAGCUGUCUGUAACUCCAGUUCCAGGGGAUC